GGGAGCGAAUUGAUUCGACGGUUGACGACGAACUUGUAGAAGCGAGCCGUGGUCUCCGAAUCCACGUAAAAGAGUCGGAAACAAACACAAACGCGAACGACAACUUCGCACUCCAAGCUGCUUAGGCAGUAAGGACGUCUCCCCGUGGCCAGCCCGGCGCUGCGGAUCUGAGGCGCCAUCUAGUCGGGCUUACUCGAGAACUGCGCUAGUCGGUUACCGAGGACACUUCAGCUAGCUAGAGCAGCGCCCCCGUGCCGAUGAGGUGGCGCCGCUUGAAACCUUCCAUCGGCUGCGCUCGGAGAAGAACAAGUAACUCAAGAUCGGACGGGAGUUCGUUGCUCCCCGCUUCCACGU
rnacentral:tmRNA from 1 species